CAAAUGCCGUUGGUGCAUAGCCAAUCAAAUAGACAGGCGGGGUAGACCGGAGACGCCAGCCUCCUGCUCUGGUAGAGUCGCGCCGGCCAGUCGGUAAAUUUCGGCGUGCUAAUGCAGGUCAAAUAGCAUGCUGCCAUAAUAGAGUAGAUAGGCGACGCAGACAGCAAAAUGAUCUGUCGUGAACUGCGGACUAAAAGGCUGAAAACGAGCCAGCUGUUUAAGCGGUCGUCAAUGUAGCGAUGCAGAGGGCCAUAUAAGGAAGAAAAAUUUGAAGUCGUAAAGAUAUUAUGACUCGAAUCCCAUCGAUGUUAGAUGCGCGGUUUCCGGCUGAACCACGAAUCAAUGAUCGAAGAGUUGUCGUAUAGAUGAUGCUUUAUACGAUAUAUAUGAUACGUAAUAUGAUUUCGUGUCGUGGCCUUACCGGAGCCGAGUAGGAAGCAUCCAUAGCCAGGACGGAUAAGCUUGCUCUUAUUCUGGCAGAAGCAUUUGACAAAUCUAAUUGGAUCUACUUAUGGAAGACCUUCGCAAUGGAGUUGAUAUUGAAUACUGUUCAGGGUACAACGAGUGCUUGCGCAUGAGGUGCUGACAUACUUGUCGCUAGAACUAGAACGAAGUUUAGAGCUGAAGGGUACUAUGUACAUACUUUUCGUGGGGUAUAAUUUUUGAUGGUCGGGUAUCUUAGCGAACCAUUUAUGUAAUUGGCUAACGGCAUAAUCGUUUUCUGAUCUACUAAUUUCUACUCAGUAAUUAUAAAAAAAAAUAAUAAUAAAUAGUAAUAAUCAGCCCAAGCCGGCCUAUUUUGGCCUCUCUGUCUGCAAGAUGUGUGACUCAGAAACUUGCUAUGCAGAAAAUAUAAUCACUGAAGGAACAUUCAGAGCUAUAUCUACGACUGGCUAGUGUAAACUUAUUCGGACAGCUAGUUUCAAGAUACGGCAGGUCAGAGAAUAAAUGGCCUUACUUUUUUCUUGACCUAUCUUAGGACUUGGAAUGUAAAACUCUACCAAAUCUGACUGAACCGCGUUUAUACAGCAGACAAAUAACGCGUUAAGUGGAAAGCAAAACACUACGGAAGAAUGCAUAAUGCAUAAGUUUGACGUAACACGCCUGUAUUAGUUCAGUUGUGUAAUGGUGAAACAUUUGAAGCUGGUUAUUUGUCAUUCUUUUCGCUUCUAAUAUCUCUACCCUUUGACAUGCUUGUGGAUCCAUUACCCUUCGGACGAUUAAGAGGUAUACGGUCAUACGAGUAAUAGGUCAACAGCGGCCUUUUAACAGUGCGAAGGCUUACUGCCACCAUGUAAGCAUUACGUCCUCAAGAUUCUUAUUUAUUUGCUUCUCAAAAAGUUUGUUCUAUUUUUUGGGCAGGUUCGAUUUUUGUAACUGUAUUUUUGCGCGAACCCUCUGUGUCAUGGGUGCCACGUUGAAGUAGGACGUCAGGUUUCAGGACUGGAGAAAGUACUUCCUAAACAAAUUGUCUUAUGGAAGAUCGCCGUUGAAAGAAGCUUGCUUUGAGAGAGGUUCUGGAAAAUACUAAAGGAUCGAUGUGAGUCUGAAAAAGCUCGUUGCGAGUAACGUGUAGACGGCUGUUCCAUUUCAACGUGAAGCUGAAUCGUCCUGGUCUCGCUGUUCCACGGAUGACGCAGCGUCGCCAGCCUGCUGUCAGCUGAACGAUCUAUGUACAAUGGAACUGAAAAUAUCUAUUUUCUCUUCGACACGAGGAAACGGCGUCUGGCAGCAGAGUUCAAUUAAUAAAAGUUGAAACUGUGUCAGCUCAUCUAAACAAACUAUAGUCGCUAGUUUAGAAUCCUUCCGUACGUAAAUUAUACCGCACGCCUUGAACCGCGAGAUCUUGUGCUAAAAAAGCAAACUAUCGUUAUCGUAACAUAAGCGCGUCAUAUAAGAGCGUCAUUAGCCCUUAGUACGGUCUAGGAGUAGUUCAUUUAUUAUUUUUCUGAGUCUCAAUAUACAAAUACGCUUAUUUUUCAAAUGGGAAAAAACAAUUCAAUGCUAAAAAGCGACAGGAACAAAGCGCAGCUGUGUCAGCCGGAAACAACGGAAUACACUUCUAGCCACAAACAGUUCCCAUCCCAAUAGCUCAGACGGGUUUAUUAAAUACAGUUCUUAAGACUGAUGAUGAAUUCGCUAGAACGGCCUAUCCGAGCCUUUAACGCCCGAUCCAGUACAAGAUCAACCUAAGCAAUAUCGAGAAACCACUACCGUUAGAAAAUACCCAAUCUAUCUCAAGCUUUCUAGCUAGAUAGAAAGCGGUGCGGUCAUAAUACUUUAAUAGCAAAACAGAUAAAGAAUUGAGAUGGCUAGAACUAUCGUAAUGCUCCUACCCUUGCCACGAGGAACAACACCCCUGUGGCACAACCCGCUAAGCGUGUGCCAGAUUCCACAAAAGCUUCAUUCAAAUAUAAGCAUUGUCAUUCUUUUGUAACAUUAUGUCCCUUCACCCUAUAUAGGAUGGCUGUACAUGUACAGCAAUAACACGUCGAGGCUUGCUUUUGUUCGGCACUAUUUCAUCUACGCGAGGCAUAUUAUUUGAUACAAUAUAAAUAAGUAUACAAAGAUAACCGAAUUACGUACUUCGGUUUAUUCUUAACGGGUUACCUUCUGUUCCGCAAUCACGGAAUAGUCGACAAAUGUGAUUGAUUGAUUGUUUUCACUAUUGGAUAGUUACCUUUUGAUAUAUUGUUAAAGGUAUAGUUACUAAGAUCGAAUUUAUUGAUAUAGUUAGCUGACAAUAGCAAUUAAUUUAUAUAUUUACCCAUUAAAAGCCUUUUACUAUUUUUCUAUUUAUGCUUAAUCAUCUAUUCUAGAGAGGCUGGAUCAAUUUACUUAUAUAGUGUCGAUGUCCUAGUCGAA